ACAUGCCCUCUUUUCUCUCCCCCCCUCUUUCUCUACCUCAGACGACUCUCAUUCAAUCUCCACCUCAGACGACUCUCUCUUCCCUUUGUUGCUUCUCCGUCGGUAACCCGCCAUCACCAUUUCACUUGUCGGCUGCACGGCUGCUUUUGUCGUAGUUGGUUCGUUGUUGUGCUGCCCCGGUUGUUGUUGCUAUGCUCUCUCUCGCCUGCCCCAUCUUUCUCUCGUCACUACCUUGUAUCGAAACCGCCUACGGUGGUCGAGGGUGGUGGUUGAGGGUUUUUCGCUACCCUAUCGAUCGGUACUUUAAUUGAUCAAGGCGAGUCUUCCGAUUUUUAUUCUCAACAAUACCCAGAAGAUCAUCCUGCAUUUGGAUUUUUAACUUGGAAGUGGGUUCUAACUCUCGGGUUCGACCACAUGUUCUCAUCGCCUAUUUUCCUGGGAACUUUGGGAGUCUUGGAAGCAUCUCUAAUGGCCUCUACUUACACUACAUAGAUUCCCUUGGUUAAGGUCGCACGAAGACAACUACCUGGUUGGACGGAGAUGGCUGCAAAAUGCGGAGCGGUUCAGUGACCUAUGAAGAAGGAUUGCCUCUUGAUACUUCUAAAGCUUGUGAUGCAUGUGAUAUAUGGUAUUCAACAAUCCGAGGGAGUAGCCUUUUAGUAUUGAGUAGAUAAAUGAAGUUCGAGAAAAGUUGGCAAACUUCAUUACCAUUUAUUGUCUUUGAUAUUUUCUUGUAGUGAAUCUUAGAUUAUGGAUGCUAAUUUUCCGUACGAUCGUAAUGUAAUCAAUUUUUAUAUUUAUGAUUAUAUACUAUUUAAUUUAUUUA